rnacentral:rRNA from 1 species
UUGGCGUAAGGUUGCAUGGAGCUAUCAUUGGCACAGAUCUUGGUGGUAGUAGCAAAUAAUCGAAUGAGACCUUGGAGGACUGAAGUGGAGAAGGGUUUCGUGUGAACAGUGGUUGAUCACGAGUUAGUCGGUCCUAAGCUUAAAGCGAAAGCUUUAUAAAAAUAAUUAUAAAUUUUUUUUUUAUAUUAUAGAAAUAAAAGAAAAAUAUAAAAUUAUUUAUAAGCGAAAGGGAAUACGGUUCCAAUUCCGUAACCUAUUGAGUAUACGUUUGUAAUAAAUAUGGUCUUUUAGAUCAUCCUGGUAACAGAAACAAUUAUAGAGAAGCCGUCGAGAGAUAUCGGAAGAGUUUUCUUUUCUGUUUUAUAGUUGUAUAACCAUGGAAGUCUUUCGCAGAGAGAUAUGGUUAAUGAACUAGAAGAGCAUGGCAUUUACUGCUGUGUCGAUAUUUUCUCCUCGGACCUUGAAAAUCUAUAAUUGGGCCACGCAAAUUUCUCAAUAGGCCGUACCGAUAUCCGCAGCUGGUCUCCAAGGUGAAAAGUCUCUAGUCGAUAGAAUAAUGUAGGUAAGGGA